rnacentral:rRNA from 1 species
GAUGAACGCUGGCGGCGUGCCUAAUACAUGCAAGUCGAGCGAACAGAUGAGGAGCUUGCUCCUCUGACGUUAGCGGCGGACGGGUGAGUAACACGUGGAUAACCUACCUAUAAGACUGGGAUAACUUCGGGAAACCGGAGCUAAUACCGGAUAAUAUAUUGAACCGCAUGGUUCAAUAGUGAAAGACGGUUUUGCUGUCACUUAUAGAUGGAUCCGCGCCGCAUUAGCUAGUUGGUAAGGUAACGGCUUACCAAGGCAACGAUGCGUAGCCGACCUGAGAGGGUGGUGGGCCACACUGGAACGGAGACACGGUCCAGACUCCUACGGGAGGCAGCAGGAGGGAAUCUUCCGCAAUGGGCGAAAGCCUGACGGGACAACGCCGCGUGAGUGAUGAAGGUCUUCGGAUCGUAAAACUCUGUUAUUAGGGAAGAACAAAUGUGUAAGUAACUAUGCACGUCUUGACGGUACCUAAUCAGAAAGCCACGGCUAACUACGUG